AGGCCUGUGCUUUAGUGGUAUAACAUUCGCUUAGCAUGCGAAAGGUCCGGCGUUCAACUCGCCGCUUGUUCA
rnacentral:tRNA from 1 species